UACGAAGGGGGCUAGCGUUGCUCGGAAUUACUGGGCGUAAAGCGCACGUAGGCGGAUCUUUAAGUCAGAGGUGAAAUCCCGGAGCUCAACUUCGGAACUGCCUUUGAUACUGGGGAUCUCGAGUUCGGGAGAGGUGAGUGGAACUGCGAGUGUAGAGGUGAAAAUUCGUAGAUAUUCGCAAGAACACCAGUGGCGAAGGCGGCUCACUGGCCCGAGUACUGACGCUGAGGUGCGAAAG
rnacentral:rRNA from 1 species